UACGUAGGGUGCAAGCGUUGUCCGGAAUUAUUGGGCGUAAAGAGCUCGUAGGCGGUUUGUCGCGUCUGCUGUGAAAACUCGGGGCUUAACCCCGGGCCUGCAGUGGGUACGGGCAGACUAGAGUGCGGUAGGGGAGACUGGAAUUCCUGGUGUAGCGGUGAAAUGCGUAGAUAUCGAGAGGAACACCUGCGGCGAAGGCGGGUUGCUGGGCCGACACUGACGCUGACAGCGCGAAAGCUAGGGGAGCGAACGGG
rnacentral:rRNA from 1 species